GAAAAUUUCUUGACGGUACCUAAGGAAUAAGCACCGGCUAACUCCGUGCCGCGCCGCGGUAAUMCGGUGGGUGCAAGCGUUACUCGGAAUCACUGGGCGUAAAGGGCGCGUAGGCGGAUUAUCAAGUCUCUUGUGAAAUCUAAUGGCUUAACCAUUAAACUGCUUGGGAAACUGAUAGUCUAGAGUGAGGGAGAGGCAGAUGGAAUUGGUGGUGUAGGGGUAAAAUCCGUAGAUAUCACCAAGAAUACCCAUUGCGAAGGCGAUCUGCUGGAACUCAACUGACGCUAAGGCGCGAAAGCGUGGGGAGCAAACAGGAUUAGAUACCCUGGUAGUCCACGCCCUAAACGAUGUACACUAGUUGUUGGGGUGCUAGUCAUCUCAGUAAUGCAGCUAACGCAUUAAGUGUACCGCCUGGGGAGUACGGUCGCAAGAUUAAAACUCAAAGGAAUAGACGGGGACCCGCACAAGCGGUGGAGCAUGUGGUUUAAUUCGAAGAUACGCGAAGAACCUUACCUGGGCUUGAUAUCCUAAGAACCUUUUAGAGAUAAGAGGGUGCUAGCUUGCUAGAACUUAGAGACAGGUGCUGCACGGCUGUCGUCAGCUCGUGUCGUGAGAUGUUGGGUUAAGUCCCGCAACGAGCGCAACCCACGUAUUUAGUUGCUAACGGUUCGGCCGAGCACUCUAAAUAGACUGCCUUCGUAAGGAGGAGGAAGGUGUGGACGACGUCAAGUCAUCAUGGCCCUUAUGCCCAGGGCGACACACGGCCUACAAUGA
rnacentral:rRNA from 1 species